ACCUCUGGGGUCUCAGACCCUGCCCGCAUUGGCCCUUUCUUUGAGUCUCCCUGUAACUGGCGCGUAUUAAACCUGUCUCCAGCUGCGAAUCAUCCCUCUCUCCAGCCUACUUACCCCGCUGCCCCCCGGAGUCCCUCACUCCAACCCUUCUGCCUAUUUUGAUUUUAUUCCUCCCCCCGCCUCUCCUUGGUUUCUGAAGGACUCCCCUCCAACCUGUCUGUAGGUUUAAAUCUCCAGACGGGUUGAAGAAGUCGCCCAAAAGGAACCACUUCGCAAAUUUUGUUUCCUCCCUUGAAAUCCCGCUGGACGUGGAGCAGAUCUUCACUUGAAGACAGCGAAGGACAAUUUGUGGAAGGCUUAAUGAAGUGAAAGCAAGAGGUCCUGUGGAGGAGGCAAGGGUGGGAGAGAUAUGGGAUCAUAAAAUUUGGCAAAGCAAGUGAUUGAGUGCAGUGUCUUUGUUAGUUUGUCAGCAUCGCAGUUACAAGUAAAAUAUGCUUGUAAAAUGCAAAUUCAAGUUAUUUUAAAUGAAAAUUGAAAAAAUG